GACGAACGCUGGCGGCGUGCCUAACACAUGCAAGUCGAACGGAGUUAAGUCUUCGGAUUUAACUUAGUGGCGAACGGGUGAGUAACGCGUGAGGAACCUACCUUUCAGUGGGGGACAACAGUUGGAAACGACUGCUAAUACCGCAUAACGUCAUUUGGGGGCAUCCCUGAGUGACCAAAGAUUUAUUGCUGAAAGAUGGCCUCGCGUCUGAUUAGAUAGUUGGUGGGGUAACGGCCUACCAAGUCGACGAUCAGUAGCCGGACGGAGAGGUUGAACGGCCACAUUGGGACUGAGAUACGGCCCAGACUCCUACGGGAGGCAGCAGUGGGGAAUAUUGGGCAAUGGUGGAAACCCUGACCCAGCAACACCGCGUGAAGGAAGAAGGCCUUCGUGUUGUAAACUUCUUUUAGCAGGGACGAACACAAUGACGGUACCUGCAGAAAAAGCAACGGCUAACUACGUGCCAGCCGCCGCCGUAAAAC
rnacentral:rRNA from 1 species